rnacentral:rRNA from 1 species
AUUGAACGCUGGCGGCAUGCCUUACACAUGCAAGUCGAACGGCAGCACGGGAGCAAUCCUGGUGGCGAGUGGCGAACGGGUGAGUAAUAUAUCGGAACGUGCCCAGUAGUGGGGAUAACUGCUCGAAAGAGCAGCUAAUACCGCAUACGACCUGAGGGUGAAAGGGGGGGAUCGCAAGACCUCUCGCUAUUGGAGCGGCCGAUAUCAGAUUAGCUUGUUGGUGAGGUAAAGGCUCACCAAGGGGACGAUCCGUAGCUGGUCUGAGAGGACGAUAAGCCACACUGGGACUGGGACACGGCCCAGAGACCUACAGGGAGCAGCCGUAGGGAGUCUUGCGCAAAGGGCGAAAGCCGGACGCAGAGACGCCGCGUGAGGGAAGAAGGCCUUCGGGUUGUAAACCUCUUUCAGGAGGGACGAAGCCACUCGGGUUAAUAGCCUAGAGGGUGACGGUACCUCCAGAAGAAGCCCCGGCUAACUACGUGCCAGCCGCCGCCGUAACAC